rnacentral:rRNA from 1 species
AGACGUAGGGGGCGAGCGUUGUCCGGAAUCACUGGGCGUAAAGGGCGCGUAGGCGGCCUGGCAAGUCGGAUGUGAAAGGCCCCGGCUCAACCGGGGAGGUGCAUUCGAAACUGCCGGGCUUGAGGGCAGGAGAGGGCAGCGGAAUUCCCGGUGGAGCGGUGAAAUGCGUAGAGAUCGGGAGGAACACCAGUGGCGAAGGCGGCUGCCUGGCCUGGCCCUGACGCUGAGGCGCGACAGCGUGGGGAGCGAACGGGAUUAGAUACCCCGGUAGUCCACGCCGUAAACGAUGGGUGCUAGGUGUGGGAGGUAUCGACCCCUUCCGUGCCGGAGCUAACGCACUAAGCACCCCGCCUGGGGAGUACGGCCGCAAGGCUGAA